UCGGCUAUAGGUGCGUCUCGCUGGCGGGGAGGAAACGUUUGCCGCCGAAUACGUCACCCCCCUUUCUUGCGAUUUGCCGCCGGCAUCCAGCCGGCGGCCCGACUGCUUAAUUUUCUCUGGCGGUUGCCUCCGUCUAACAGACCGCGGCAGGCUGGCGGCAAGCCGCUUUGAAAUGUUCUCUUAAUCGACCGCAUUGGCCAUUGGAGUUAGAGUACACUGACAGCAUUUUAACUACCUUUCACAUUUGAAGCGGUUAUACAAUCAUAAUAGCCUAUAUAUGUUAAUUAUAUCCAAUAGGAUAGUUGUUUUGCUCCAAAGCAAAGAUAUGUAAGUUAUGUUUAUACGAAUGUGUUUUCAGUUAGUUUCCUUUUUUUACACCCUGAGUUCAAGCAUGUUUCACAUGCAUCUAAAGCCAGUAGGGUUUAUAACAGAUUCUUGAAGGUUUAGGAAAUUACAUUUAAAUUACUUUGAAACUCUGAAGCGAUUAUACAGUAAUAUAUGUAAAAUAUAUCGAAUUAUUGUAUGCACUCAGUCAGGUCAACAUUUUUACAUGUCUUUGAUUUAUGCACUUGACUGGAAAUUUCCUUUAUGUCUUUCAUUAUUUUCCAACAUCGAUUUUUUAUUUACUUUUUUUAAACCUUUUACAUGUACAAGGAUUAUUUUGCGAUCUGUACAAAUUAAUUUUUAAGUGAUAAAGCACAAACAGUGAAGUACCGCCACCGGUCGAGAGGGGCAGCACCUCAACAAGACGGGAGAAUUGUAAACCGGAAGAUACCGUGUCCUGCCAGAGAGCACUCGUCGUUACAAGUUUUCAGUGUUUGAAGAGAGGCUCAAGAUACAGAUUUAAGACAAAAGGCAUCAAUUACGAUCGUUUAAAUAACUUGCCCAGAGCACAGCAUCUCGUGUACAGCAUGAAGUUUUCAGCUAUCAAGUUAUUGUUUUUUUUUUAAUAAUGUAGAUUUCUAGAGACUCCAGAAUGAAAACCAAGCCCUGCACUGCAAAAAAAUGAAUGUCUUUCUUAGUUUUCUUUUGUCUUGUUUUCUAAUAUUAAUAUCUGAAAAUUCUUAAAUUGAGAUACACUGACUUGGUAAGCAAGUGGCUUAAGAUAUUAAGUUUUGUUUAUUGAAAUAAAUGAUGGAAAUCAAGAGGUUUUUAAAACAAGUCAAAAUAUUUACCUGUUUAGUAAGAAAAAUAAACUUAAUUCCAGUUUCAACUUGAUCAACUUAAUUUAAGUUUAUUUUUCUUACUGCGUUGGCAGAUAUUUUGACUUGUUUUAAGUAAAAAGAAAAACUCUUCAUUUUUAUAAUUUAUUUUAAUAAACAAGACUUAAUAUCUUAAGCCACUUGCUUACCAAGUCAAUGUAUCUCAAUUUGAGAAUUUUUAGAUAUUUAUUUUAGAAAACAAGACAAAAAAACCUAGGUAAGUCAAUACUUUUUUGCAGUGUGAGGGAGAAGAACCAAGCCCUGAGGGAACGUAGUGAACGAGCAGCUUCGGAUGACAGCGGCUCACUUUUGGCGUUGCUUGACAACACUUUGAGGCAGGAUAAAAAGCUCCAGGAACAAUUUCUUUAGAGUAUCUUCUCUAAUCACCUUUCCAUUAAUACAACCUGGACUGGUGUAGGGAAUCAAGCAUGUUUUAGAGACCUGUUUCUGAAGACCAUUGUUCAAAGAGCCAUCCGGAAGAACCCUGCAACCCAGGAUGCCACUGAUUGGGCUGUCCAGGUUAAUGUUACGUGUUACCUGAAAGGAGCAUCUGACCGUAAAGGCGGAAAAAGGCAGUACACAGCUGAGAGGGACCCACAGAUGACGCCUUAAACCGAGGCUGACUACUGACACCCCAGCAUCGCUGACAACUGGAAACCUUUCUUUAUCGUGCAGUCAGUAACAUCAAGAACCCUAAAGAAUCCUGAAGUAUCACACUACACUCAACCAAUCCACACUUCACUUUGAAAAUUACUAUUCUUUUAUUUUUCAAAUUCCAUGUGACCCUGCCUUAAGGGCAGCUCCUCGUAUAGAUAUGGAAUGGCGAGGAUGUUUGUCCUUUAUACAGGUGCACGAGAUAAAGUACUGAUCCCUUGAGGGUCAAUCAAGUAUUUGUUCAUUUUUAAUUCACAAUAUACAGAUCUUAUUGCAGCAAAGUGAAAAUAUUGUAUUCCAGGUCAGCAGUGCCAUUAUAAUAGUCUAUUCUAGUCCAGAGCUUUACUCUAGGAUAAGUGGUAAUAAUUUAUUGUUAGAAAUGAGGAUUUAUUUGGUAUGCUGCACGUUCUUUGGUACCAAAUAUCCUCAUUACUUAAUUUUAUGUUUACUGGUAGCCAAAUUCUUUUCAUCCCAGAGCUGACCUCUAAAUUAUUAACAAUUGUUGUAAAUGAUAUGUUCUAAUUUGCUUGUAAUGUUUUUUUUAAACUAGAAUUUAUUUGGAAACCUGCAUGUUUUUUAGUACUUUUUUAUUUUUCAGUUAUUUAUAUUUCAGUGCUCUUACACAUCUUGGUUCAAUGACUGUUACUGUACUUUGAAAUGUGGAAUAAAAAAUCCAAAUGAGAA